rnacentral:tRNA from 1 species
GCCCAGGUGGUGGAAUUGGUAGACACAGAGGACUCAAAAUCCUCCGCUAAAGCAUAUCGGUUCAAGUCCGAUUCUGGGUA